rnacentral:rRNA from 1 species
GAUGAACGCUGGCGGCGUGCCUAAUACAUGCAAGUCGAGCGAAGCGGGGACGGGUGAGUAACACGUGGAUAACCUCCUAUAAGACUGGGAUAACUUAGGGAAACAGGAGCUAAACAGGAUACUUAUAGAUGGCUCCGCGCUGCAUUAGCUAGUUGGUAAGGUAACGGCUGACCAAGGCAACGAUGAAUCGCAUGACGGAGAGGGUGAGCGGCCACGCGGGAACUUAGACACGGUCCAGACUCCUAGGGGAGGCAGCAGUAGGGAAUCUGCCGCAAUGGGCGAAAGCCUGACGGAGCAACGCCGCGUGAGGGAUGAAGGUCUUCGGAUCGUAAAACUCUGUUAUUAGGGAAGCGGUACCUAAUCAGAAAGCCACGGCUAACUACGUGCCAGCAGCCGCGGUAAC